GUGCCAGCCGCCGCGGUAAUACGAAGGGUGCAAGCGUUGUUCGGAUUUAUUGGGCGUAAAGCGCGCGCAGGCGGGUGGUCAAGUCAGAUGUGAAAUCUCGGAGCUCAACUCCGAAACUGCGUCUGAAACUGGCCACCUAGAGUCUCGGAGGGGGAUGGGGAAUUUCGCAUGUAGGGGUAAAAUCCGUAGAGAUGCGAAGGAACACCUGUGGGGAAGCCGCCAUCCUGGACGAGUACUGACGCUGAGGCGCGAAAGCGUGGGGAGCAAACAGGAUUAGAUACCCUGGUAGUCCACGCCGUAAACGAUGAGCACUAGUUGCUGGGGGAUUUUGACCCCCUCUGUGACGUAGCUAACGCAUUAAGUGCUCCGCCUGGGGAGUACGGUCGCAAGACUAAAACUCAAAGGAAUUGACGG
rnacentral:rRNA from 1 species